CCCUGUUGAGGUUAUCGGUAAAUUUCGAUGCCCCCCCUCCAAGUUUUUAAAAUUUUCAAUGCCCCCCCUCUAGAAUUCGGAAUCGAAGGAGUACAAUCCAGAAUUCUCUCUUAUCAUAGAUACAAUUUGCAGUUCCUCAAGAUGUCUGAUAUACUCAAGCAUGUGCUUCUCCUCAACAAAACUACCGAUCUGCUGCUUCUUUCACUUCACUAGCGCCAGAUGAAAUGGCACCGUCUUUAAAACAUUUUAAAUUGGCUCUAGGGGUGAAAUUAUCAACAGGUUGUUGUUGUCCAUCAUUCAGCGUAUUCGGAGUCUUGAACACGUUCAUGUAGUGGCCAGGAUUUCCUGGAUCAGGGUAAUGUGCUGGAACCUUACAGUAUGUCGCCCCCACCCAACGUAUCUCCCGGCAUCUGUUGCAAAUGUCUUUGCAUGCCUGUCAAAAAUGCAUGCAAAAGUGCC